AUAUCUUUAUCACCCUUUUGGCUAAGACAACCUGUAAUAUUUGUUAUUAUUAGUUUAAUAUCUGAUAUGUGAACUACGUUUUCACUUUGAUAUAAAGUUUAUUGCUUUUUUCGGGUAUUGUCGAAGGUAAACUCUAGUCGGGUGGCGGAUAACACCCGCCCUAAU
rnacentral:snRNA from 1 species